AACGAACGCUGGCGGCAUGCCUAACACAUGCAAGUCGAACGAGACCUUCGGGUCUAGUGGCGCACGGGUGCGUAACGCGUGGGAACCUGCCCUUAGGUUCGGAAUAACUACCCGAAAGGGGUGAUAAUACCGGAUAAUGUCUUCGGACCAAAGAUUUAUCGCCUUUGGAUGGGCCCGCGUUGGAUUAGCUAGUUGGUAGGGUAAAAGCCUACCAAGGCGACGAUCCAUAGCUGGUCUGAGAGGAUGAUCAGCCACACUGGGACUGAGACACGGCCCAGACUCCUACGGGAGGCAGCAGUGGGGAAUAUUGGACAAUGGGCGAAAGCCUGAUCCAGCAAUGCCGCGUGAGUGAUGAAGGCCUUAGGGUUGUAAAGCUCUUUUACCCGGGAUGAUAAUGACAGUACCGGGAGAAUAAGCUCCGGCUAACUCCGUG
rnacentral:rRNA from 1 species